rnacentral:rRNA from 1 species
GAGAGGAGGUACCUGCAACCCAAGCCCGCAGGGGAGUGGCGGACGGGUGAGUAACACGUGCGUAACAUACCCUUUAGGUCUGGAACAACGCCGCGGAAACUGCGCGCUCAUACUCGGAUACGCCCUGACCGGGUGAAUGGCCUCUCUGGCAAAGAGAUUGAUCCCCGCCUUGAACUUUGCCUUGUUUGGCUGGAGGAUAUCUGGUGUCACACAUGCGCGCACAACUCGUCUUUGCUGUGUCCUGUAAAGACGCCGGACCAAUCCUACAGUUAGGUGUGCUGAACACACCGCGCCUACAGGCUCCUCACUGUGAGGUAUGCAAACGAGGCUAACACUUUCCUCCAUGGUGUGACGCCCCCUGAGUCUGUCUUUUGUCCGCGCUUCACCCAUCGACCGCUGCCCACAUGAAUGAAUCACGCUCCUUAUCUCUCCGUCUUACAACUACUUGUCUUGCUAGUUUUGCAGACAAAACCUCCCUUGCUAUAACCCUCCUGUCCGACCAACCCAGCUCCCUAUAUUCACCUGAAGGGCAUCUCGGACGCUCUCCUCUAUCAUCUAGUGAGCUCAACAAAGGCCCGCCGCGUAAGGACCUAUGUUUUUUCCUCGCAGCAGUGGAGUAGCAUAAUUUCUCUAUAUCCAUCUCCCUUACCACCUCCGUACUCUUGAUUUCCCUUGCCCCACCCCUGCCUAUAUUACCCACUUUCUUCGAACAUCUCUCAACCACUCUUUCGUCUCUUCUCUCACCUCCCCCUCCCUACUCUCUGUAUUAAAUCUUACAAACACCCCCCUAAUAAUCAUUAUCCCCCUCUCCUAAACCACCAUCCCUAGAGGUUUUCAUCCACGAUCGCCUCACUCCCUCUGUCCACCCUAUAAUCAAAUUUGCUCGGAUCCACUCCUUCCCACUAACCAUCGUAGAGUCUCCUCUAUUUUUAUC